rnacentral:rRNA from 1 species
AAUGAACGCUGGCGGCGCGCCUAAUACAUGCAAGUCGAGCGAGAAGACGUAGCAAUACGUUUGUAAAGCGGCGAACGGGUGAGGAAUACAUGGGUAACCUACCCUCGAGUGGGGAAUAACUAGCCGAGAGGUUAGCUAAUACCGCGUACGCUUCUUGGACUUCGGUUCAGGGAGGAAAGCGAUGCCGAGGGUAUCGCGCUCUUGGAUGGGCUCAUGUCCUAUCAGCUUGUGGUGAGGUAACGGCUCACCAAGGCUUCGACGGGUAGCUGGUCUGAGAGGACGAUCAGCCACACUGGCACUGCGACACGGGCCAGACUCCUACGGGAGGCAGCAGUGGGGAAUAUUGGGCAAUGGGCGCAAGCCUGACCCAGCGACGCCGCGUGGGUGAUGAAGGCCUUC